CCAUCUUGAUUGCGUAAAUCCGCAUACCACAGAGAAAUCUCUUAUUUCUGCUUCCUGUUUCACCUGUUCUUCCCUGCAGUUAUCCUUGGCAAGAAACGCGUUCUUGAUACAGAAACCAUGCUGACAGCUGACCUCACCCUCGCUCCUUUCUCUUGGGCAGCUGUCCGUUGUCCAACUCUUUUUAUGCACCACGGACCGAUUUCACAUCAGAAUAUAAUUUGACGGACCAUUGAAGCCGUGGCGGAGCGACAGAGAUGACCGUCUCGCCAGCGAUUCUCCUGUGAAGAGUUCAGCUACUGUCUCACGGCGAAUUGAUUCUCGUGACUUGACAAAGUUAACAAGGAAAACUCCAGAAUAGAACGGUCGUGAACUGAGCGCCCCUGUACCCUACCCUACUGAGAACCACAGGCCUUCAGUACAUUAGAAAUUUAACAACUGGGACAAAGUGCCGUACAAUUUCAGCGGCUGAAUCAAUCUGUAAUGAUCACACUUUUACCUUGAGGCAAAUCUUUCUCCCAGCUGGCCACAGUAGCAUAAAGCCCAUCGCUAGAUUGACAGGCCCUUAAUGGCGGCUCUCCGAGGCUCAGGCCACGAAGGUGUCUCUACCCAGUGUUAAUCCAUGUUGUCUCGGGAAGCCCGUGACAUUGUAACCGGACCUUUUCGCUGCCUCGGCGACGAGGGAGAAGACAGAUGUCCAAACAGCCCAAAGGUUCAUCACUCACAAGGAUUUGUUUGUUGCGCAAGGGUCGAGGAGGGGCGAAGCGCGGAUGAGUAAAGAUGGCACCCUUCUAGCAUCUUUGCUCCUCUAAUGAAAAACAAACUCAUUCGAAGGGGGCCCAGUGAGUAAUGACGGCCAACAGCCAGAUCUUGAACUUUUUUUGAAGUAUUGCCUUACUUCUGAGGUUGACCCAUUGUUUUGUCAAUGUCAAGAGUCUUCUCGCAUUAAACCUACAAACGGGAAUGUUUGCGAAAUCUCAUCACUGUCUAUUGGAAACCCUGCAUGUCCAAACGUGGCCAAUUUCAUAUUCACCAAAAUUCUAAUGAGGAAGAAGCUCUUUUGUAAAGGGAUCGAUGGACUGAGAGAGACAUCUAUUUUUCCCCUCCACUGCCUGUCAACCAAUCAAGGUACUCUGGUGUGUCUUCCGACCUUUAGGUACCUCACGCCUAUCGUGAUUACCACAGUAGCAGUGUGCCAAAACAAAGACAAAAAAUUAUUUAAUAAACUGAAUGAGCAUUUACAUAGUGGAUGUAAAACAGAAUGUGUUUUGCAUAGUAACAAUCAUAUUUUAAUGAGAAAAAUGCUAUUUCUCCUACUGUGUGCGGUUCAGUAAUCCCAUUUGAACAUACAGAUGCAAUUUGCAUAGCAAUGUGCCAAACACAUCAAUUAAAAGAGUCAGUUUUAUCUUGCGGCCACUUUUAAAUUUCCAUUGUUAUUGUUGUUCUAUAACAUCUCCCAUUCACAAAUCUUUUAAUUACAUCACUUCACAAUUUCAGUGCUUAUCUAAAAAGGGUUUUUUUAUGCAGCGCAGCUCGCACAAAAAAAAUAUGGGGAAACAAAAAUAAACUCCCUAUUCUUCAUUUCAUGUUUGCUCUCACCCUGCAUACAAUAUUUUCCACCUAAUUGUCCAAUGGCCAGAUGCACGCUUCAAGCUAAUUUGUAAACGUUUGUCAUGAGGGGCAAUCACUCAUGGUGCUGGUGUUUACCAAAAUGACAUAACUCAUGCUAAAUGUAUC